rnacentral:tRNA from 1 species
GGGGGUUUAGCUCAGCGGUAGAGCGCUCGCUUCGCAUGCGAGAGGUCGGGGGUUCGAUUCCCCCAACCUCCA